rnacentral:rRNA from 2 species
UGGGGAAUUUUGGACAAUGGGGGCAACCCUGAUCCAGCAAUGCCGCGUGUGUGAAGAAGGCCUUCGGGUUGUAAAGCACUUUUGUCCGGAAAGAAAUCGCGCUGGUUAAUACCUGGCGUGGAUGACGGUACCGGAAGAAUAAGCACCGGCUAACUACGUGCCAGCAGCCGCGGUAAUACGUAGGGUGCGAGCGUUAAUCGGAAUUACUGGGCGUAAAGCGUGCGCAGGCGGUUUUGUAAGACAGGCGUGAAAUCCCCGGGCUUAACCUGGGAAUUGCGCUUGUGACUGCAAGGCUAGAGUGCGUCAGAGGGGGGUAGAAUUCCACGUGUAGCAGUGAAAUGCGUAGAGAUGUGGAGGAAUACCGAUGGCGAAGGCAGCCCCCUGGGACGUGACUGACGCUCAUGCACGAAAGCGUGGGGAGCAAACAGGAUUAGAUACCCUGGUAGUCCACGCCCUAAACGAUGUCAACUAGUUGUUGGGGAUUCAUUUUCUCAGUAACGUAGCUAACGCGUGAAGUUGACCGCCUGGGGAGUACGGUCGCAAGAUUA